GCGAAAGUAAGACUAAUACCCAAUGAUAUCUCUAGAAGACAUCUGAAGGAGAUUAAAGAUUUAUCGGUGAUGGAUGGGGAUGCGUCUGAUUAGCUUGUUGGCGGGGUAACGGCCCACCAAGGCGACGAUCAGUAGGGGUUCUGAGAGGAAGGUCCCCCACAUUGGAACUGAGACACGGUCCAAACUCCUACGGGAGGCAGCAGUGAGGAAUAUUGGUCAAUGGGCGAGAGCCUGAACCAGCCAAGUAGCGUGCAGGAUGACGGCCCUAUGGGUUGUAAACUGCUUUUAUAAGGGAAUAAAGUGAGUCUCGUGAGACUUUUUGCAUGUACCUUAUGAAUAAGGACCGGCUAAUUCCGUGCCAGCAGCCGCGGUAAUACGGAAGGUCCGGGCGUUAUCCGGAUUUAUUGGGUUUAAAGGGAGCGUAGGCCGGAGAUUAAGCGUGUUGUGAAAUGUAGAUGCUCAACAUCUGCACUGCAGCGCGAACUGGUUUCCUUGAGUACGCACAAAGUGGGCGGAAUUCGUGGUGUAGCGGUGAAAUGCUUAGAUAUCACGAAGAACUCCGAUUGCGAAGGCAGCUCACUGGAGCGCAACUGACGCUGAAGCUCGAAAGUGCGGGUAUCGAACAGGAUUAGAUACCCUGGUAGUCCGCACGGUAAACGAUGGAUGCCCGCUGUUGGUCUGAAUAGGUCAGCGGCCAAGCGAAAGCAUUAAGCAUCCCACCUGGGGAGUAC
rnacentral:rRNA from 1 species